rnacentral:rRNA from 1 species
AACGAACGCUGGCGGCAUGCUUAACACAUGCAAGUCGAACGUGAAGGUCCCUUUCGGGGGGCGAGUAAAGUGGCGCACGGGUGAGUAACACGUGGAUAAUCUACCCGAUGAUCUGGAAUAACACUUCGAAAGGGGUGCUAAUACCGGAUAAGCUCACGACGCCUUCGGACGAUGUGGGAAAAGGGGGCUUUUAGCUCCUGUCAUCGGAUGAGUCCGCGGCCCAUUAGCUAGUUGGUAGGGUAAUGGCCUACCAAGGCGACGAUGGGUAGCUGGUCUGAGAGGAUGAUCAGGCACACUGGAACGGAGACACGGUCCAGACUCCUACGGGAGGCAGCAGUGGGGAAUGUUGCGCAAUGGGCGAAAGCCUGACGCAGCAAAGCCGCGUGAGUGAUGAAGGCCUUCGGGUCGUAAAGCUCUGUCAGAGGGGAAGAACCUCCUGUCGGUUAAUACCCGGCAGGCUUGACGGUACCCUCAAAGGAAGCACCGGCUAACUCCGUGCCAGCCGCCGCGGUAACAC